GUAGGUGAACCUGCGGAAGGAUCAUUAACACAUCAAUUUCAAUUCAUACCUUCGUUGCACAGAAUGAUACCGCGAGAGUGACGUCUGAGAGCGCUAUGGUGCGAGCCCUCGAUUUGCUUCGAGGGCUGGUUCUCUUGGACUGCUGCCGGGUGUGUCCGGGCCUUCGCUGCUUAGGAUGCACGCAGUCGCUGAGGGCAAAAACCUUCGGUGACCAGCGGCCAAAAUCACUGUUGUCGGUAAUUCAGCCUCCCCCAUGGCUGGCCCUUUUUUUUUUACUUUUAACCUGAACUUUGAACUGAUUUCGGCUUCGGAUCGAGAGGAGCAAUCCUUUCUCUGAGGUCUUCGGAUAUUGAAUCCAAAACACAACUCUUAACAGCGGAUAUCUCGGUUCUC
rnacentral:misc_RNA from 1 species